GGAUCCUUGCUUUGAGCAACGACGUCUUCCCAUUCAUGCCCUUUCAUUCUCGGUCCUAGAGCAACAUUUGCCUUGACCGUCCGUCGGGUUUCCUGUGUUGCAUACCUAGUGCGAUGGUAUCCGUUUGUAAAAAUCGUCCCUCGUUCGUCUUGUGAUGCCCGUUUCGACGUGUGCUUCACGGAUGAGCCCCGAAGCGCCCGUCGCGGUCCACUUCGCCCACGCUGAUCGUGCGUCGUACGUGGCCCGUGACGGGAUGCUCGUGCUCUCGGAUGCAGAACCCGUUGAGGGUACGGGGCGACGACCCCUCUCUACCCGAAACUAAGCGUUCACCGCUAACUAGCGUACGACUGUCGCAGUCGUCUUGGGGGGGCCGAUCCCACGGGUCGUGCCUCGCCCGGGCGGCGCCGAMGUCUGUGAGGA
rnacentral:misc_RNA from 1 species